UAACAUGCCAAGGUAGUGGAUGAUUCUGAAGCAAUGGUGCUUUCCAGACAGCAUGUAUGCAAACUUCUACCUUCCCUGUGAGUUCUAGCUCCAUUCAUGAUGCUGACUGAUGAGGACAUAAUGGUGCUGAGUAAAUGUUUGUUGGUGGUGGCCAAGAGCUCAUGACAAAUGAGACCAGAAGACAAACAAUAUUAAAAUAUGACUGGAUGUAAAAUACGGAAUUUGAAAUCGUUGUGCAAGUUCAGUGGAUAAAACUGGCAAACUGGUCUCUGUUCCACGCACACUACAAAAAGAGAUAUUAUCUACAAAUAAAAUGCGUGGUGAAAUUUUUACGAACUUUGAAACCAGGACCCAGUUCUACCACUUAUUAGCUAUGAGACCUUGAAAAAGUCCUCUGCGUCUCAGAGUUUGUUUCCUUUUCUCAAAAGGAGUCACGUCUUCCUGAAGGCAUUAUAAAGAGAACUGAGGUGUGACUCUGGGAGAGGCUGGCUUCUGUUCCCACUCCCAGUCACUGCAAAAGCACAGAGCUUCUACUCAGUGGAAGAUGGAGGCUAUAAGGGGAAGGACUUUAUUUAGAAGACAGUAUGGAAAACUUCAUGCCCAAGGAUAUGCCGUCUUAAGAGUGAUCCAAGAGAGAAUAUCCAAGCUACCGUCCCUGACUGAACAUGUGGAAAACUCUGGAAGGCCCUUGAACUAUGACAGUCUCCAGGCCAGGCAUACAAAUUCAAUGGUAAAGAAUAAAAAUCUAACCGAUUAAAGGUGAAAGUACAACCUUUGACGAAUAAACGACUUAUGCUGA